CCUUACCCUGCCUAGCCGCAGCAGCCACACUGCAUCAUCUUCAUUCUUUAGCUCUUGCUUCUCUGCGUUGUUGCCUUUCUUCUUCCUCAUUGACUCUCUGUGCAUCAGUCGCCGCCUCUGGCCGGCGCUGCACUUGCUCUUUCACAUCGCCUCUUUUCUGGUCUUCUUCUUUUGCAGUGGGACGACAAUACAGUAUGUAAGCAGCAAAAUUUUUGGCUCCUACGACUCCAUUGAAUAAUUUUCCAAUAUGAAGUUUUUGGAGAUCUCUGUGUACCUUCCUCAAGAUUCAAGCAUUAUGAAGCAAUGGGAAGUCAGAUUAUCGGUGAUGAUGCUCCGAUUCGCUACUUAUUCGACAAUUUCCGCAACUGUAAUUUCUUUGAUUAAACUCAGGAGGGGAGAAUAUGGUGUAAACCAAGAACACUGUCGCUAAUAAUUCAACAAUUCCACCAAGACUAGAGGAUUAGGUGGUGGUAGAAGAUGAAACAGCACCAGCUCAAGUCUAACAAGGACAAGUGGUGCUAGAGUUAUCGAACCUGAUUGAGCAAGUUCAAGUCUUGAAUUAAGCACGACCUUCUACUCAAGCUCCAGUUCAAGUUAUUCUUGUGACUGGUAAUAACAAUGAUAUGACACUCCUUACUUCAAUACUAAGGGACAUCCAAAAGAGGAUGGAUGUAUAUGAUCAAGUUAUAUUGGGAAAGGUUGCUGAGGGAAAUAGCAAAGUUGUUGUGAAGGCUAUUAGUAACCUCGAGAAGAAGUAAAAGGAAGUAAACUUAGAAGUCAACAAUCAACAAGAGGAAGAGUCCUUUAAGGGUUUUGAACAAAGUAAUCAAAGCAACUCUAUGAGGCAGAGAAAAAGCAAAAAUGAGGGCAAAGAGAUGCCUUCAAGAGGUUUGCAAGAUUGAGCCCGCCAUCAUUUGAGAGUUCUAUGGUAGACCGAGCUAGGGAGAAAUGGAUUGAUAAAUUAGAGUCCAUUUUUUCUGUGAUAACCUGCAUUAAUGAAUAGCGGGUUUGAUUGGCUACUUUCAAGCUUAAAGAUGCAGCUAAACAAUGGUAGGAAAGUGUUAAGCCUAUUGAUGGAUUUGAAUUGACCUGGGAGCAAUUUAAGAAGAGGUCCUUUGCCUAUUACUUCUCGCUAACUGUCAGGGCAGCAAAAGAAGCUGAGUUCCACAACUUGAGAUAAGGCAAUAUGGAUGUUGAGGAGUUCAUAGACAAAUUCAAUGAGCUCUCUAAAUAUUCCUUAUACUUGAAGAGUAAUGCUGAUGAAGAAUGGAAGUGUGAGUAGUUCCUAGACAAGAUGAGGCUUGAGUAUAGCAGGCAACUGACAGCUCACGAUAUUGAUUCAUUUGAAGUAAUGUGUAACAAGUUUAGUGCUGUUGCUAGAAGAAGCCAGAUGAAUGAUGAUAACCGACAAGAUGACCAAGGCUGGUAUUUCUUUUUUAUGGGCCCUGCUGGGGGUGUGAGUAAGAAGUCAAGUUGUAGCUUGGGAUUCUCAAAAGGUUAUAGUAGAGGUGGAGGAAGCAGUAAGAAGAAUUUCUCUGAGGGAUCACAUUCUAGAGGAUCCCAAUCCAAAAUUUAACCUAAGAUUAAUUAAGUUAAUCAAGGGCAAAUGAGUAAUUUUGGAGAAAUAUUUAGAUACAAAUAAUUUUAGUUAGGAGAUUAUUAUUUGAAUCUAAUCUAAAAUAAAAUUCAAA